rnacentral:rRNA from 1 species
CUCUCUCGAGCGCAUGCGCACGCGUCACAUUAUAUAUCUACACGUGCGCACUUGUGUACACGUAUAUCUCUCUGUGUACGCGUCACACACAGGUGAGAGAGAGAUCUUGUCUCUUUCCCACACACUCACAGGUAUAUGUUUCUCAUAUACCACAUGUAUGAUAUAGUAUGAUAUACGGGGUCUGUGCGCCUAUAUAUAUACACAACUCUCAGCAACAUAUCUCUUCUCUCUCGCAUAGGAGAAGAGCGCAGAAAAAUGCGAUAAGUAAUGAGAAGCGCAGAACACAGAGUAUCAUAGUAUCUGAGAACGCCCCGUGCGCUCCGGGAUUUUGCGAGGCGCACGCGUGUGAGAGUCUCAAUAAUAUCUCAAUCUUCUCAGCUUUUUCACACGGAGAGUGUGGGAUGGGGGGGUAUUUUUGCUGGACUCUAAUUUGAGGUCAGCUCCCCUAAAAUGCAUUAGCAAAACAAUUUGUUUACUGCUCAUUGGUGUGAUAACUAUCUACGCUAUUGACGGUGAAGCAGGUUUAGCUUCUAACAGUCCAUUAACUUGGACAAACUUUAUUAAUGUGACCUCAAAUCAGGUAGG